rnacentral:lncRNA from 1 species
CACAGUUUGCCAUAUUUUAGAGAGUAGCCAUGGUAACAAUACGGGGGAUGCAGUGGUGACCAUGGAAACAUAUAAUGUGAACAUAAAAUGCAUAAAGUAUAAUUAUUAAUAAUAAUUUAUAAAUUUAAAUAAAAAACAUAAUGAAUGGAAACACAUUAAGCCUAAAUUGUAAUACAUGGGGAGUAUUUUAUAUACAAAUCAAGGAUGAGAACAGUUUUGGAUCACCCACUUCCAAAGAAUGGAGAUCAACCCUGGCAUACUGUCAUUGAUCAGAUAUUCAGUAUUUGCAUGUUUGUCUAUUUUGAGAGCCUCCACUAUUCUAAUUUCAUCUAUAUUUUACACAUUAUUGAUGAAUUUAGCUCUAUCUAAUUUUAAUAUAAAGAACUUCAUAGAACCACAUAACAAGAGCUGUAUCCAGGUUUUCAUUCACAAUAUCUUUCUUAUGCUCUUUUAACUGAAAAGAGGGAGUGAGUGGUCCAAAAUUGUUCUUUUUACCUUUGGUUUGUAUAUGAAGUGCCCUUUAUGUAUCAUAGUUUAG